GCCGGCUGCUCCAGCUUCACGUAUUACAGUAAUCUUCCUACUAGCCAUGGAUGCAGCACCCUAGAACAGGAAAGCAAGGACCAUCGUUUGUCUAUGUUAGUAAGCUGAUCUUAGCUGCAAAAAGGGCCAAAUGAAUAGAAACAAAAAACUUGCUUACUGCUUUAAAAUACCCUUCAGCAGAUAGAGACAAUACUUGCCUGAAGAAUGCGCAGGAACGUCCCACUUUGGGUCAUAGCACCAGAACAGGAGCAGGUCAUUAACAAUCCACCUCUUCUUGUUACUUGCAUGGCCAAGGAGUUUAAGUUCCUAUACAUGCCGGAUGCGCUGUGCAACACCUAAACAUGUAAAAAUUGGCACUUAGGGUGGGGAAAAUAAACAUAAAUAGGUAGAAUAUAAUGCAUGCAUGAUAAGAUUUUUUGUUUGCUGUCACCAAAUGUAAGAGAAAGUCUCACCUAGGAUGACCACAAGGGAUGUCAUGUAAUACAAAAGUUUAGGCUGGGUAUAAACCAACAAUGUAUAAUACCUAGAAUGUACCACAUGCCUACAACAAGAGGAAAUGGAAAUUUUUUAAGUUACUUUGGAUUA